AUAUAUGCCAUCCAAAUCCCAAUCUAACGAAUUCUACCAUGAUGAUGUGAUGCCCUAAAAGUAAGGUCUAUGCAAUCAUUAGAUAGGCCAUGCGCAUAAAGCAAUGGACAUCCACCCAAAAACUUCGAAAUUCUCAUGGUAGGCCAUUCGAUUGUUGAAGCCGCCUUAUUUUUUGUACAUCUCACUUUCUUGGUGAAAAGACUUACGGACAAGUAGGAUUCCAUACACAAACAACAGUGGGCCUCUCAGGCAAAGUUGUAGAGAGAGCUAUGCCUUCAAACAUUACAGAGGACCUGACCUUGUACAAACCUUUACCACAUUAUACACAUGCGUCUUCUUUGUGACAGUUUCGACCACUGUCAAUAAAUCCUUACUGUUAGAUUAUGCUCAAAAGUCUCUUUGUCAAGUCUUAGUGCAUGUUUGGAUGGUGAGAAAAGGAAAACAAAAAAUAUCAUGGUUAUUCAAUGAUGAUUUCUUAAGACUUUCAGUAAGAAUAAAUUCUUAUGAAUUAUAACUUUUUUAGUUGAAAAUAAAAUUCUUGUGAAUGGAUUUUGUGAUCCUAUUAACUAUUGUAAGCCUUUUCAAGACUAUUUGUUGUGUACUCUCCUUUAAUUAACACAUUUUCCCCUUUUACUAUUGCAGGUUUCCAGUGGGACUAGUUUUUAAGAUACAUAUGCCCUUCUGAACUUGUCAUACUCAUGUGAUCAGGCAAACAUAGAUACAUAUCUCGUAUCAAUGGUCAAACAACACAUUAUGUUGCUUCUCUUGGCAUUUCUAUUCUGGGCAGUACUGUUUUUUUAAAACAUUGGCAAUGACUGAUUCAUUGGAUGUACAUUGCAGAUAACAAUCUUAAGAAUAACCCAUGGCAUGGAUUUGAUGAGUGGUCGCUCAAGGUAAAAACCAAUGCGCCUAACUGGAGAACUCAAUCGAAACAGCUGCAUGUCACCUUCUCCAAGACCUAUAAACUGCUCAGAGACAUGUUUAUGCAGUGGAGGCAUCUGAAAUGGCAGAAUAUGCACGCAGGCUUAUUGCUGAUGCUGGGAAUCCAUCAUUGGGAGAAUGGAUUACGUUGUGAUUUUAUUUUGCAGUUUAAACUUAAUACCUGACUUUUUUGAGUUCUUUGCCAAACUCAAAGAGAGAUUUCCAUUUUAUUUCCAUGGUUUCUCUGUUUGUGUUGAGAUUUCUAGUCUCUUGGACUGAGGGAGAAAACCAAUCUCUAUUUUUCUUCUUUCCUUUUCUUUUCUUUCUGUUUUUUCAUGUUUUAUGGAUUGGGAUUCCAAGUC